GACGAACGCUGGCGGCGUGCCUAAUACAUGCAAGUAGAACGCAGUUGCGAACGGGUGAGUCACGCGUAGGUAACUGCCUGGUAGCGGGGGAUAACUAUUGGAAACGAUAGCUACUACCGCAUACUACCAGAUGGACCUGCGUUGUAUUAGGUAGUUGGUGGGGUAACGGCUCACCAAGGCAACGAUACAUAGCCGACAGGUGAGGGUGAUCCACCAACCUGGGAAUGAGACAAGGCCCAGACUCCUACGGGAGGGAGCAGGAGGGAAUCUUCGGCAAUGGGGGGAACCCUGACCGAGCAAAGCCGGGGGAGUGAAGAAGGUUUUCGGAUCGUAAAGCUCUGUUGUUAAGGAAGCGGUACUUAACCAGAAAGGGACGGCUAACUACGUGCCAGCAGCCGCGGUAAUAC
rnacentral:rRNA from 1 species